GACGAACGCUGGCGGUGUGCUUCACACAUGCAAGUCGAACGAGUGGCGGACGGGUGAGUAACACGUGGGAAUCUACCAUUAGGUGGGGAAUAACAUGCCGAAAGUACUGCUAAUGCCGCCUACCUUUUGAUUAGCCCGCGUCCGCUUAGCUAGUUGGUAGGGUAAAAGCCUACCAAGGCGACGAUCGGUAGUUGGUCUGAGAGGAUGAUCACCCACAAUGGGACGGAGACACGGCCCAUACUCCUACGGGAGGCAGCAGUGGGGAAUUUUGCACAAUGGGCGCAAGCCUGAUGCAGCCAUGCCGCGUGUAUGAAGAAGGCCUUCGGGUUGUAAAGUACUUUCAGCGGGGAGGCGUUACCCGCAGAAGAAGCACCGGCUAACUCCGUGCCAGCCGCCGCGGUAAUUC
rnacentral:rRNA from 1 species